rnacentral:rRNA from 1 species
UACGUAGGGUGCAAGCGCUGUCCGGAAUUAUUGGGCGUAAAGAGCUCGUAGGCGGUCUGUCGCGUCGGCUGUGAAAACCCGGGGCUCAACCCCGGGCCUGCAGUCGAUACGGGCAGACUAGAGUGUGGUAGGGGAGACUGGAAUUCCUGGUGUAGCGGUGAAAUGUGCAGAUAUCAGGAGGAACACCGGUGGCGAAGGCGGGUCUCUGGGCCAUAACUGACGCUGAGGAGCGAAAGCGUGGGGAGCGAACAGG